rnacentral:tRNA from 1 species
AAUUAAUUAGCUUAAAUAAAGCAUUUGUUUUGAAAACUUAAGUAAAGAUAAAAAUCUUAUUAAUUU